ACAACGUGGAACUUUGCGGGAAAAAAAAAGGAAUGAAUACAGAGUACACAAUUUUCGUUAUUUAUUUUGUUAAAUAAAAUUUUCUUCUACAGAUGCAGGCUGUCUCCGACAUUUUUGAAAGAGAGGCGAGUACACAAAGCAUUGUUGACUACAUUUUACACGUUUCUUUAAAUGGCAUGCGAUAUGGACAAAAUUUUCCAGAUUCUUCCUCUUGUCAAAGCAGGCUUACCCCUUAUCUAUCAACACAGGUGAGAUGUCCUGUAGAUCUUUUGGACUUAUACCGGUCCAGCUCACUCUUGGAAUGUCAGCCAUGAUCAUGGGUGCCAUGUGACUAUUCAUGUGCACCUAAUUUCAUAAGAGGAUUUUCCAGUAAGAAUAAAUAUAGAACACCUCAAAAGGUAACCACUCAACUGUUUCUCAUGCCAAUUGGUCUGCUGCUGACGAAAAACGAUUUAAAUAAUUUUCAUAGACACAAGAUUUCCUGGUUGCUGAACAGUCUAUUUUAAAAUCCUGACUCAGAUGAUUAAAGGUUUAAGGAUUGACCAAAAGCCUUGAACAUUAUUAUAUCUACAUUAAUAGCAGAUCAUAUCUUAGACUUAUCCACCUGUCUUGCCAAUGAGCUGCUGCUGUGCUUGUAAUGUUAUUGUUUUUGAAAGAUGAAUCAAUUUCAAAUUAGAUUCAAUAAAUUUAAUUUUCUAAUUCAUUUAUUAUUGAAUUCUCGGUGGAAUUGUAAAUCAUCACAUGUAAAGUAUCCACUCAAGAACUGAUUUACGAAACUGUGUGCGGUGAACGUUUGUCCAAAAUCGCAUAAUAACAUUGUCUGCUGUAUAUUUUGCGUGAAAUUAAUUUUCUUCAUGGAAAUAUUCCUUGCCUUUAAUACCUUCUAUUAACUUGAUUUGUUUGUAAUAUUUAUUGCUUUCCACCAAAUAUUCAUUUAGAAAAUUAGUACAUAGGAUCUGGGAUUUGCAUAUAAUAGAGAAGAAUUAAAAGGCUACUUAAAUUACUGUACAAUGCAAGAAAGAGUUGCAUAUCAGUUUCCAUGCAUUUAAGUAUUGUAAUAGGGAGUUAUGAUUGCUUUGAUGAUCGUUUGAUGGAAUUACUUGCAAAUGUAGAUUCAAUCCACACCCUAGAUUUCUGAUUACAACCAGAAUCUAAAUUCUCUACGUUUACAAAUGACUAUAUGACGUCAUCGCGUCGUAGAUCUUGCUGUUGCUGCACAAUAGAAAAGUCUAUAGUGAAGCACUGUUAUGAAAAAAACGAAAUAAUGGUUUAGAGUGUCAAAGAUUCAAAAUGAUCAGCGCUUAACUUAGAUCGUUAAAAGUCCCAAAUGAUCAUCUUCCCAACUUAAGCUUCAUGAACUUAGCUAUCAGUGGUCCCAAAUGGUCAGCUUUUAGGAUAGAUUAGUUUGUAUUUAUUACUAAUUAUGGAAGUUCAAGCAUGUAGAGCUUUGGGGUUUCUUGUGAGAGGCUGUAGGUUCAUGAAUGAGAGCAGCUUAGCUCAGUUGACUAAAUUGGUGGGGGGCACUAUAUGUGCGCUGAACUGUAGAGAUGGAGAACUGGUGAAUUAUUUGGAAUGAAAUUGGAAGUGAUAAAUUACAGUACAUGCAUACAUAGAGCUAGGAGUACUUCCCAGGAAGUGGGGGAGGCUGAACCUGAAUGAACAUUGUGUAUGAUUCAAUCUAUACCCAGUGACCAGGGCAAAAAGACAUACAUACAUAAAAAGAAAAGGGACUAUAAAACAAAGGAUUAAGAUAUAUGAAGUAAAAAUGUUUAUUACAUUCAUGAAAGAUUACUAUAGUAAUAUUUUUAUAAGCUUCCUUAGUCAUUUCGCUCUGUCCCAUGAAUUGUGUCUAGUACAAGAAGGUUAUAAUUUUUUGUUUGGUUUACCCUGGAGAGUGAUAUGUCAACACUAAAGUCAGUCCUGGAUAAGUGUAUCCAUAUUUAUU
rnacentral:lncRNA from 1 species